GCCUGGGUGGCUCAGUCGGUUGAGCAUCUGACUUCGGCUCAGGUCGUGAUCUCACGGUUCGUGGGUUCGAGCCCCACAUUCAGGCU